rnacentral:rRNA from 1 species
CACGUAGGGCGCAAGCGUUGUCCGGAAUUAUUGGGCGUAAAGAGCUCGUAGGCGGCCUGUUGCGUCCGCUGUGAAAACCCGGGGCUUAACCCCGGGCCUGCAGUGGAUACGGGCGGGCUAGAGGCAGGUAGGGGAGAAUGGAAUUCCCGGUGUAGCGGUGAAAUGCGCAGAUAUCGGGAGGAACACCGGUGGCGAAGGCGGUUCUCUGGGCCUGACCUGACGCUGAGGAGCGAAAGCGUGGGUAGCGAACAGG